CUCUCUUAGAGGAAACUUCCAUCAUUGUCUUCUUUGACAUUCUGCUGCCUCAGACUAUCCAAGGUCUUACUGUUUGGUCUGAUAGACCAGCGUCUGUAUAUUUGCAUGAGAAAGGAAUGCCAAGUCUGCUUGAACAAAAAUGAUAUGAAAAAUGAAAUGGAAAAAUGAAAUAUUAAUUGAAAGAGUGAUGCCAUCUUAGGAUAGUAAAGGGGAAAGAGUACUGGAGAAGAGUAAGAGUACUUUAGUAUUUUAAGUAAAAGAAUUUUUGAAUAGUAACUAAGAAUAAUAACAGAUGAGGACUGGGUAGGGGAAAUUAAAUUAUUACAGGAGCAAGAAUGAGCAAAAGAAAAGAGAGGUAGAAGAUUGGUAAAGAGGAAUGGAAAGAAACAGAAUGAAAGAAAUCAGAUUCCAGCAUCUCCUUUGGUCUCUUGACAUUGGUACCCCUACUUCAUACAUCCCUGGAUUCCCUUCCUCUCCCUCACCCUCUCCUUUCUUCUGGCUGAGUGAUGCUUCAGCUCUUCUUGGUUUCUGGCUUGCCUCCAGCUCUUCCAGGUGUCAAUUCAACACAAAAAAAUAAUGCAUCUAUUAUAAAUAUAUUUAGUUUAAUUGCUAUGCAUUUCUAGGAGCUGUUUUUGCAAUGUAUUGGUAAUUUUUCUAGUCAUGCAUCUUCUCAGAACAAGUAAAAUCACUACAAGUUAUCUCAUAAAAAGUUGUCAGAGUUGAGCUAGGGAUAUAAGCUCAGUUGGUAGAGUUCCUGCCUCACAUGCACAAGGCCCUGGGUUCAAUCCCCAGCACCACAAAAAAAUCGGAAACAAAGUCUAACAUCAGACAAUAUUGAUAUAUGUAAAAUUUCUUUGGCGAAAUGAAAUUUAUUAUUGUCUUGUCCUAAGACUGACUGAAAAGGAUCUUGAGAGGAUCUGACUCUUUUGUCUCCCUCCCUUCAGGAAAGAGUUAAUGCUAUUUAUAUAAAUUCUUCCAGGGACUAACAAGUCUCUCUGAUAAAACUGAUAAAGCAACAAAUCAUGGGUUUCAAUCCAAUAAAACCUUCCGUUUAAAUUACUGAGUUCAAAUCUUCAUAUACUACACCCACAUACAUAUAAUCACACACAUCCACAUACUUUUUAAGGAACUUGUCUCUGCAGUAAAAAAGAUGCACCACUAGAUGGCGGCAUUAUAUGUUGAUUUUAUUACCUGCGCCUUGGCAUUUCUCUGGCUUAAGUAUUCAUAGGCUCAACACAACUCCCUUGUAGACGGUUGGACUAAUGCAAACACCCCUUUCCAUACUCUUUUGAGAGAAUUAAUUUGAAACUAUAUUCUAAACAUGAGAAAAAUAAAAGAGCUUUGAGUUUAUUUUAAGUGAUAUUUGACUAAACCGCUAUAGUGGCAUCAAACACCCAGGACAUCAACUCUGCUCUCUCUCUAAGCUUUAGAUGAGUGUGUGUUUUAAGGUUUCAUGUUUCUUAAUGGUUCAGUUUAAUUAUCACAUUCGUCCAUUUAAUAGGUAUACAACUUGCUUUUGCUUGUCCAAGUCUUUGCGUUGAUUGCCCAUUAUUAUUAUUGCCCACACUUCCUACAGGUAUGCUAAGUCCAAAUAUGUGGGAAUAUAUUUGCUAUAAAUUGCUUAAAAUUUAAAUGAUCCCUACAAAACCUAAAUAUCAAGAACUAAGCUUGCCUAAAAUAACCUUUAUAUAAUUCUAAAACUAAUCCAUCUGAAUAUAUGUGUAUCUGUAUAGCUUUUUUUUUUCAGCAGGCAUCUGGUGGUAACGAGGCAUCUGCUAUAAACUGAUAAUUUUUCAUUGUAUCUAUCUGCACAAGGAAUGAGAAUAAUAUUAUAAUCAGAUUUUAAAAUUAUGAACUGAAUAAGCAAUGUAUUUCAAAAAGAAUCUCAAGGCGAAAACCAUAUUCCAGGGGUAGCUUACAGUAUCCCCAGGCCUCUCUUCUUUUGGCUAGAUUGUCUGGAUGUCAAAGGCACAGAGCCUUGGCAGCCUGGGUGACACAUGUCCUCAGGCUAUUUUGGUUCUUAGGUAUUUGGAAUUUCAGGGCCUCUGAUGGCUGGAUCAUUGUUAAAGAAGCUAAAUGCUUCUGUUUACUUCUUCUAAGCUAAUUAUAUCUUCACUCUUCCAGUUCACUAGCACCGGUGGCUGGGCUUCUUCUCUGCUAAUCCCAUCAAAACCCUACUUAUUUGUGCAUAUAUAGUAUUUUUCUGCCAACCACUUAAUAUUUUUUUUCUUCCAACUGAAAACAAAAUCAGAAGGAAUACAAGAUGUUCCUCCCUGAAGUUUUAUGUAAAAUUCAAUACCAGGACAUUUUCCUCCAAAGGAAAUUAUUUCUUCUAGCCACAUGAUCACCAGCUCAGCUACUAGGCUCUUUCUUAGCAAAUUGGACUCAACUUUCUCAGGUGAGUGGUGUUUAUAACUUUGUUACCUUGAAUCAACCACCUUGGGAUAUGCUUCCUCUCUUUUCAGAAUCUCCUGAACAAAUUUAACUUAUACACAAUAUUGCUGCAGAUCUUAAAGCAAUUAUAGCAGGUGUCUGUCAUGGGUCUGUUCUUUUGAACACAGCAUUUGGCAUUUUUUAUUUGUCUUGUUUUCUAUUUCAUUGUCAGGCUUCCAUAAGCUUUUGAUAGAUUUAGUCAGAGAACUAAAUAUGAAAAUGAAAAUUAGGAAGAAUUUUACUGAGAAUGAUGAGAAAACUCCUUAUAAGUUUCUAGGUACUCCAAUAGUUCUUUGUGCUUUUCUGCUUGUAUUACACUACCUCUAUAUUUUUGGUAUCAGAUAUUACCUACAGUAUUUUUUCUCCUUGGUCAUAUAUGGUUAAUUUUUUGUGCCUGGGAGCAGUGCUUCCUACCCAAUGGCUUGCAUAGUUCCCUCUUGUGCUGAUAAUGAUCCCCUUGGAGCCUGAGAGCUUAUGACUUAUUGCUUUCACUUUCCUACACAUCUGUGCCCCAUAAUGCUGCACAAACAUUGUCAUUUUCUCUCUGUUCCAUGAUGUGAAGAGGUCGGAAGCUUUGCUUUUAGGCAGAACAAACAGGAACAUCACUGAGGUUGGGUUAGGUAGGGCCUUCAGCAGCUGUGGUGAAGCUAUCGAAUGCAUUAAACCCUUUAAAACCUUUCCUGCCCCAAGGUGCUGACUGUCCAGUUGUGUCACUUCCCUUAGGGAUAAGUGAAUGAUCGCCAUAAGCAAGACUUAACUUUAUUGGUGUUCAG
rnacentral:lncRNA from 1 species